GCAAGGCUAAAUACUCCCGAGAGACCGAUAGUGAACCAGUACCGUGAGGGAAAGGUGAAAAGUACCCCGAGCAGGGGGGUGAAAUAGACCCUGAACCCGCGCGCCUACAAGCGGUCGGAGCCGAGUAAUUCGGUGACGGCGUGCCUUUUGCAUAAUGAGCCUACGAGUUAGUCGUCACCAGCGAGGUUAAGGGCUUCAGGCCCGUCAGCCGAAGUGAAAGCGAGCCUUAACAGGGCGUAAAGUUGGUGGCGCUAGACGCGAAACCUUGUGAUCUACCCACGAGCAGGUUGAAGUCGCGGUAACGCGUGAUGGAGGACCGAACCGGUAAACGUUGAAAAGUUUUCGGAUGACUCGCGGGUAGGGGUGAAAGGCCAAUCAAACUGGGAAAUAGCUCGUACUCUCCGAAAUGCAUUUCGGUGCAGCCUGUGAUGUUCUGUUCCAGAGGUAGAGCUACUGGUUGGACGCGAGGGCUUCACCGCCUAUCAAAUCCGGAUAAACUCCGAAUGCUGGAACACGAAAUCAUGGAGUGAGCCCGCGGGUGCUAAGGUCCGCGGACGAGAGGGAAAGAACCCGGACCACCGGCUAAGGUCCCGGAUGGACAGUUAAGUUGAUCAAACGAGGUGGGAUCGCGGAGACAGCUAGGAUGUUGGCUUGGAAGCAGCCAUUCAUUUAAAGAGUGCGUAACAGCUCACUAGUCGAGCGAUCCCGCGUGGAUAAUACACGGGCAUAAAACUGUCAACCGAAGCCGUGGGGUUAGCUUUAUUGCUAACCGGUAGGAGAGCAUUCCUGCCAGCUUUGAAGGUCACCCGCGAGAGUGACUGGAGCGGCAUGAAAAGCAAAUGUAGGCAUAAGUAACGAUAAUGGGGGCGAGAACCCCCCACGCCGCAAGACCAAGGCUUCCCCGGCAAUGUCAAUCAGCCGGGGGUCAGCCGGCCUCUAAGGCUAACCCGAAGGGGGACGCCGACGAGAAACGGGUUAACAUUCCCGUGCUUCUCGUCACCGUGACGCGGUGACGGGGUGAUGAAUGGACCGCGCGCAGACGGAAUAGCGCGUUGAAGGCCGUACCCUUUGAGGGUGGUAGUCAAGCACGCCACCGGAGGCGACAGCCGAUAGUACCUCGAGGCCUCGGCCGAGGGGAUAGCGUCCAGGCAAUUAACCCCCUAGAAAACCCGCUAAACUUCAAGUGACGAGGAACCGUACCGUAAACGGACACACGUGGUCGGGUAGAACAUACCAAGGCGCUCGAGUGAUUCAUGGUCAAGGAACUAGGCAAAAUAGUCCUGUAACUUAGGGAUAAAGGACGCUCUAGUGAUAGAGCCGCAGAGAAAUGGCCCAGGCGACUGUUUACCAAAAACACAUGGCUAUGCCAAAUCGAAAGAUGACGUAUAUGGCCUGACACCUGCCCGGUGCCGGAAGGUUAAGAGGAGAGCUCAUCAGUAAUGAGAAGGUUUGAAUUGAAGCCCCGGUAAACGGCGGCCGUAACUAUAACGGUCCUAAGGUAGCGAAAUUCCUUGUCGGGUAAGUUC
rnacentral:rRNA from 1 species